rnacentral:tRNA from 1 species
AUAUUAUUUUGGCAGAUUAGUGCUUUAAAUUUAGAAUUUAAUUAUGUGGAUUUUUUCACAGAUAAUAC